rnacentral:tRNA from 1 species
GACGAGGUGGCCGAGAGCUUAAGGCGAUGGACUGCUAAUCCAUUCGGCUCUGCCCCGUGGGUUCGAAUUCCCAUCCUCGUCG